AGCUAGUCUUUUAAAUGGACCACAAUAGCUCUGUGGCUGCUGUCCUUCCGGCCUCUUGGUUUUACGAGGGGAGUGUUCGUGGGUUCUUGGAACAACAUGGAACAACCAGAACAGCAAGAAGAACAAGGAACAAAAGCAGAAAGUCUCCCAACAAACCCCUCUGUCUCUUCAGCUGGGACUACUUUUUGGAAGGGAAAAACUGGGCAUGGAGGACAAUAUACAGCUUUUUUUUUAAUGGCAAAGAACUGGUACAGUGAGAGUGGCAAGAUUUAGGGACUCUGAAGAAACUGCUCUAACAAUUUGGUUUUCUCCAAUUUGUGACCCUUCACCGAGAACCUACUCUGAGCCAAACCCUGGUCCAAACUUGGGGAGGCAGAGCUGGCUGAGAACAGUGCCGCCCAAAGAAAACAGGGAUCACCUGCCAGAGAUGCAGAUCCUGGGGCCCCCCUCCCCCCUGCAGAAGCCCAAAUGGCAUGGCAGGAGGACGUUUAGAAAAGCAAAGCUAAUUCAAAAUCACUGCCAGUGGACAAGCCAGGCGAGUACAGAAGUGUCACAGCUGGGAGGGUGCCUGGCCUGCAGCAUCGUGGGCGUUCCCAGUCUACAGAGGGGGACCCAGCUGCCCGGUGCUCGGGGAAAGCUCCCUGUGGGGUGAUGCCACACUGAGUCCUGAAGGCCAAGGAAGAGCUGGCAGGGUCUGUUAGUUUCUGGGGAGCCUGAUGCAAGUCAAGGAGCAGCAACACGAUCCAGGAGCCGAAAUAUCCAGGCUGCCCUCUGAACCGUCAGGAACAUGCAGAAAUGUGAUUAAUAGUUAACAAAAGAAGCUCUUUCCUGUUGUCUCACAUUUGGAUGAAACCCCAGAGUUGAGGACAAAGGAUGAUCAGGACCUUCCCAUUCAACAGAGAAGUGCAAAUCCAUCCAUGGAAGUAGGAAUUGUCAAGAAACAGAAACAAGCACAUGCAUAGACCUGGAGCAGCAAAAGCCAUGGAGGUGGGGGUGAGCUGCGCCUUGUGGCUGGAGUGGAAAGUGUAAAGAGAGCAAUAGCCGGAAUCUCAGAGACACCCACCGACAUGCUCAAGAUCACACCAUUUGAAUACAACGCUGUCUGCCCUGAGAACGUGUGUCCUUUGCCACAUCAGGAGGGGCUGAACCUGCACUUUUCUGCCAUGAUGACAGGAGGGUGAAGGGAAUAAUCCCAUCAGUUGUCCAUCAAGCUUUCGUUUUCUAAAAGCAAGAUAGUGGCAGUUCAAUGAUAGUUUCUAAAUAAUAAAACAAUGGAAGAUUAGAUCUCGACCUACUUACCAGGGCAGAACCUGGGGGAGACAUGGGUGCUGGGAAGAGGGUUUCAAGGAAGGAACUUCUUACUUUUCUGUAAGGAAAGGAUGACCCCUGCAGCUUCAAGAGCAGAUUCAAAGCUGAUUCAUUUUCAACAAUUCCAGUAGAAAUUGUCAGGGAACAGAAACAAGAGCAGAAAUGCAUUGCAUAUCACUCUCAGAAUAAUUCUCAAAACAGAAUAAUUGCAUAUCACUCUCAGGAUAAUUCUCAAAACAGGACUGUGAGGUAGAUGGUAUUGCUUCCAGUUUUAAAAGGCAGAAAUUGAGGCUCAAGAGACUCUUACUGACGUGCCCAGGGUCAAGGUGUUGUAAAACAGACACAGGGAGGUGUCCUCGUCUCCUGAAGACCAGGGGGCUCCACACCCUCAGGAGCCUCAAGGAAGGUGCUCGACAGAAGCCUCCCUCCCCACCUCCUGCUGCCAUCAGUCCCGCCACGUCCAAGUUAAUGUGCCUCCUUUUCUCGGUCCCCACGGCCACGGCCCUGUUUUAGCCUCAUCUCUUUCCUCCCCGACCCUCCUGCCUCCAGGAUCUUUCCGUGGGAAUCAGUCUCCCAUUUUGCUGCCAGGUUCAUCUUCUUAUUUUUUAUAGUUAAUUUUUUUGUAUGUUAUUCAAUAAAAUACACACACACUCAUUCUACAAAACCUGGAAGAUAAAAAAAAAAAUCAUCCUAGAGAAAAACCGAAAUUAGAUUUUGGAUUAUGUCCUUCCAGUUUUUAUGAUGUGAACAUCUUUUUGAUAGCUGGAAUUAAAUAUCAGUUGUUACUAGUGUUGGAGGGUCACCGGAGGCCAAAGAGGUGUAACAGCAGGGGACGGGGCCAACCAGAGAGGCCUUCACCCCCCUCUUGGAGGGAAUCAGGACUCAGGGCAUUAAAGUUAUGUGUUCUCUUGCAUGUCCAGCCAGAGAGCCCCUCGACCAGGUGGGGAAGCUCCCAGUGAAAGCCCAUUAUUUGUUCACAAUAUUUUCUUGAAUUCAUCCAUGCAAGAAAGUUAUACUUCCACUGAUAGAAGUUUUGCCCUCCUAAUUUGCUUUGGAAUUAAAAUGUAAGUGGAAGUGAUGGGCACCAACUCCAGCGAAUGUUUCAAGGUGGUUCCCUAUCUCUUUCUUCUGUCCCAAGUUGGGUUUUGUCCUGGAUAAUGGCUGCUCCUUAGCCCUGGAAUGAAGAGGUUUGGAACAGAGACGUACCCCAUUUACAGCUUGAGUUGAACUUGACUGUGAGCAAGAAAUAAACCUUUGUUUUUGUAAUCCACCAAGAUUCUUUGGGGGUGGGUGGGUGGAAUUUAUUUCUGCAGCAUAAACCUAAGCUGACUGACAGGCCUUUGUUGCAUCGGGCAGGAUGGACACACACCCUGGGCAGAUCUAAACACUGAAGACCAGGAAAAUCGGGAUGAAACCUUUGAGUUAGGGAGCUCAAAGAUCUGUGUUGGUUAUGGGGACAUAAGAGUAGAGCAUGUUCUUGUUAAAGUGGGAAUUACCCUGAGGAAGGAGUCCAGAAGAGACACUUUUGACAAUGUGAGGCAUCAUUUCUAUUGUGCUUCCUGUGGGCCAGCAGCCCAGCUAAGGGAGAUUAUAGGCAUUAUAUCAUUGCAUCUUCCCCCAUGUUCUAGAAGGCAGAUGUCCCUUAUUAGCAGCAUUUCAGAUCAGGACGUUGUUGAGGGCAGGGAAUUUAGUAAUUUAACACCCUCACGUGGCUCACACACCGUAAAGCUGUAAUUCAGAUGUGGGUCUUUCUCUUCAGCAUCUGCCUAUUUCAACUCAUAAGGGUGGAUUCCCAGCCAGAUUACCCUCAGGGCUGCUGAUGCAAAGAUACCUCCUGGACAGGACAGCGUGGGGAGGGUGGUGAGAGUGGCAAGAUUCACUACAGCAAAUCACUCCACUGGUAGACCAGAAAG